rnacentral:rRNA from 1 species
AGCUCCAAUAGCGUAUAUUAAAGCUGCUGCGGUUAAAAAGCUCGUAGUUUGACGUCGACGGCGGGCGCGUGGUGCGUCCAGGGUGGCGUUCACCGCGCGUCGCAGCCUCUCCGUUCGGCUCAGCGUCCCCUGGUGCUCUUGACCGGGCGUCCAGGGGCGGCCGGAACGUUUACUUUGAAGAAAUUGGAGUGCUCAAAGCAGGCAAAACCACGCCUGAACAAUGGUGCAUGGAAUAAUGGAAUAGGAUCUCGGCUUCACGUUUGCUGGUCCUAGGAGUUCGAGGUAAUGAUUAACAGGGACUGCCGGGGGCAUUCGUACUGCGGCGCGAGAGGUGAAAUUCGAGGACCGUCGCAAGACGAACGAGAGCGAAAGCAUUUGCCAAGCAUGUUUUCAUUAAUCA